rnacentral:rRNA from 1 species
UGGGGAAUAUUGGACAAUGGGCGAAAGCCUGACCAGCCAUGCCGCGUGUGUGAAGAAGGUCUUCGGAUUGUAAAGCACUUUAAGUUGGGAGGAAGGGCAGUAAGCGAAUACCUUGCUGUUUUGACGUUACCGACAGAAUAAGCACCGGCUAACUCUGUGCCAGCAGCCGCGGUAAUACAGAGGGUGCAAGCGUUAAUCGGAAUUACUGGGCGUAAAGCGCGCGUAGGCGGCUAAUUGAGUCGGAUGUGAAAUCCCCGAGCUUAACUUGGGAAUUGCAUUCGAUACUGGUUAGCUAGAGUGUGGGAGAGGAUGGUAGAAUUCCAGGUGUAGCGGUGAAAUGCGUAGAGAUCUGGAGGAAUACCGAUGGCGAAGGCAGCCAUCUGGCCUAAUACUGACGCUGAGGUACGAAAGCAUGGGGAGCAAACAGG